rnacentral:rRNA from 1 species
AUGCACGCUGGCGGCGUGCCUAAUACCUGCCAGUCGCGCGAACAGACGAGGAGCUUGCUCCUCUGACGUUAGCGGCGGACGGGUGAGUAACACGUGGAUAACCUACCUAUAAGACUGGGAUAACUUCGGGAAACCGGAGCUAAUACCGGAUAAUAUAUUGAACCGCAUGGUUCAAUAGUGAAAGACGGUUUUGCUGUCACUUAUAGAUGGAUCCGCGCCGCAUUAGCUAGUUGGUAAGGUAACGGCUUACCAAGGCAACGAUGCGUAGCCGACCUGAGAGGGUGAUCGGCCACACUGGAACUGAGACACGGUCCAGACUCCUACGGGAGGCAGCAGUAGGGAAUCUUCCGCAAAGGGCGAAAGCCUGACGGAGCAACGCCGCGUGAGUGAUGAAGGUCUUCGGAUCGUAAAACUCUGUUAUUAGGGAAGAACAAAUGUGUAAGUAACUAUGCACGUCUUGACGGUACCUAAUCAGAAAGCCACGGCUAACUACGUG